UUUUUUUUUUUUUUUUUUUUUUUUUUUUUUUUGUCUUUUGUUGUUGUUGUUGUUGCUAUUUCUUGGGCCGCUCCCGAGGCAUAUGGAGGUUCCCAGGCUAGGAGUUGAAUCGGAGCUGUAGCCACUGGCCUACGCCAGAGCCACAGCAACGCGGGAUCCGAGCCGCAUCUGCGACCUACACCACAGCUCAUGGCAACGCCAGAUCCUUAACCCACUGAGCAAGGGCAGGGACCGAACCCGCAACCUCAUGGUUCCUAGUCGGAUUCGUUAACCACUGCGCCACGACGGGAACUCCCUCAUUUCAGUUGUUCACUAGCAUUUGAUGGGGCCGUUUAGAACCUCGACUCCAGUUCCAAGGAGCCAGGAAGACUGAGUCACCUGGGUGUUUUAGAAAAAAAACCUUACACUUUCCACCUGCGUUUUUCCUUUACUCUCUUAUCACCACCACACUCACAAUAGUGCUGACCCCAGACAUGUGGGGUUUUUCCCCCACACCAAGCAAUCCUCUGUGAACAGUGGGGUGUUCUACCAUCUAACUCAAUUCUGACACUCCCUACAAGAGAUAGCGUCAGUGCCCACAAGUUAAAGACUUGGUCCCAUGAGACUGCACCCCCUCCCCCAAGUUCAGAUGCCAAUCACAAGGUUAUCCACAACUUCCGCCUGACUUGGCUACAAAUCAGAGGUUCCCAUAACCUCUUCCCCCCUUGGAUUUGAUUAUUUACUAGGGCAGCUCUUAGAACUCAGAGACACCUUGUCUUACAUGUACCAGUUUAUUAAGGGUUAUGAUAAAGGGCACAGACGAACAGCCAGAUGAAGAGAUACAAAAGGUGAGGUCUGAGAGGAUCUGAGCCCAGAAGCUUCUGUCUCAGUGAAGUCGGGAUGGGUCUUCCUCCUGGUACGAGGAUAUGUUCACCAAGAUGGAAGCUCCCUGAGCUCCAAACUUUUGGGAGCUACCAACUUUUUAUGGAGGUUUCAUUACCUGGGCAUGACUGAUAUAACUCCAUUCCCAGCCCAUCUCCCUUCUUACGAGAAUGGGGGCCAGGGAUGAAAAUUCCAAGCUUCUGGAGUUCCUGUCGUGGUGCAGCGGAAACGAAUACAACUAAGAACCAUCAGGUUGUGGGUUUGAUCCCUGGCCUUGCUCAUGGAAGGAUAUACAUUUAUGUAUUUAAAAAUUGUUGGUGAGGAGUUCCUGUCGUGGCGCAGUGGAAAACAAAUCCAACUGGGAACCAUGAGGUUUCAGAUUCAUUAACCACUGCGCCACAAGGGGAGCUCCUGGUGUCCAUACUUCUGCAAAAAAGAUAAACAAAAGGCCAAUAAGCACAUGAAAAGACCUUCAACAUCACUAAUCAUUACGGAAACUCAAAUCAAAACCACAGUGAGAUAUCACCCCACUGCCAGUAGGAUGGCUAUAAUCAAAAAAGAAAAAAAAAAAAAGAAAAGAAAAUAACAAGUGUUGGUGAGGAUAUGGAAGGACUGGAACCCUUGUGUGUUGCUGGGUUAUAAGAAUGUAAAAUGGUGCGGCUACUGUGUUAAACAGUAGAGCAGUUCCUCAAAAAAUUAAAAACGGAAUGAUCAUCUGGUCCAACAAUUCCACUUCUGGGUAUGUACCCAAAAGAAGUAAAAGCGGGUUCUCAAAGAGGUAUUUGUUCACUUGUGUUCAUAGCAACGUUAUUCAUAAUAGCCAAAAGGGUAAAAGCAACCCAAGUGACAGAUGAAUAAAUAAACAAAAUGUGGUGUACAUAUAUACAAUGGAACAUUAUUCAGCCUUAAAAAAGGAAGGGUAUUCUGGAACAUGCUACAACAUGGACGGACCUUGAACCUUAUUAUGCUAAGUGAAAUAAACCAGUCACAAUACUGGUAUGAGCUACCUAGAGUAGUAAAAAUCAAAAGAGACAGAAAAUAUUACCAUGGUUACCAGGAGUCAGGUAGGGAUUGGUAAUGGAGAGUUACUGUUUAACGGAUACAGAGUUCUGGUUUGGGAAGACGAAAAAGUUCUAGAGGUGGAUGGUGGUGAUGACGGUACAACAAUGUGAAUAUACUCGAUGCCACUGAACUGCACAAGUUAAAAUGGUAAAUUUUAUGUUACAUGGAUUUUACCACAAAAAAAAUUGUUGGAAAAAAAUUACUGGCAGAGUUCCCAUCAUGGCUCAGCGGUUAACAAACCAGACUGGUGUCCAUGAGGACAUGGGUUUGAUCCCUGGCCUUGCUCUGUGGGUUAAGGAUCCAGUGCUGCCGUGAUCUGUGGUGUAGGUCACAGACGCGGCUUGGAUCCCUUGUUGCUGUGGCUGUGGUGUAGGCCGGCGGCUACAGCUCCAAUUGGACCCCUGGUCUAGGAACCUCCAUGUGCCACAGGUGCAGCCCUAAAGAGACAACAGCAACAAAAAUUUAUCGGCACUAGUGUUAGUAGAUUAGUGAGGUGAAAACUCAAUAAGAAGACCAGUUAGAAAGCUAAUACCCAGGGGCAGAGAGCUCAGUAAGAGCCUGAUAAUGUAAGACGGUGGCAGGGGAAGCUGGGGGGACAGAUACUAGAGAUUCCCAGGUGAGUGGCUGGAUGGAGUGUGAGGAAGGAGGGGAAACCAAAAGGCUACUCCCAAAGUCCUGAGCUGAGGGACUGAUGGACAGUGGUGCCCAUCACCACGACAGGGCCCACAGAGUUGGUGGGGGAAGAACAGGUUUCCUGAAAGGUGGUGAGUUCAGUUUGGGAUAAGCGGCGUUUGAAACACUUGGGGAAUGUCCAGGUGGCAAUAUCUUAAAGGAAUGAGACUGAUCUCAGAAGAUUGGAUUUUCUAAAGUAUGAUAAUAGUAUUAUGUUGUUGUUGUUUCAGUUUGUAUCUUCUGUAGAGAAUAGGGGUGAAUGGGGCAGGGAUGGCCCUGGGCGAUGGUUACCAGGGCUGUCAUGGGUACCUGAGGAUUAAUUCUGUCUACUUUGGGGACUAGUCAAAAAUCACCAUAAUAGGAAUUCUGUUGUGGCUCAGCAGUAACGAACCCAACUAGUAUCCAUGAGGACGCAGGUUUGAUCCCUGGCCUCGCUAGAUGUGGGUUAAAGGAGCUGGUAUUGCCAUGAGCUGUGGUGUAGGUCGCAGACACGGCACAGAUCUGGCAUUAUCGUGGCUGUGGCUGUGGCUGUGGCUGGCAGUUGCAGCUCCUGUUCAACCCCUAACCUGUGAACGUCCAUAUGCCCUGGGUGCAGCCCUAAAAAAAAAAAAAAAAUUGCUGUAAUAAAAAGUUUAAAGAGCAAUAAUAAAAAGAGAUGUAAACCUAUAGGGCAGAGAUAAUGACACUGUUUUAUUAUUAACAAUAAUAGUACAAAGCAUUACCAUUUAGGGAGUCUCUGCUCUGGCAGGCACUUUGCUGGGCCCUCUACGUGCAUAUGUUGCACUUUUUCAUGACAACUCCAAUUUUACUAAAGUUCAGAGAUGUCAGAUGUCUUGCAUAACAAGUAAAGCUUUAGAUUAUAUGAGGUAUAGCAGAGGGAGCAAAUACAACAAGAAUAUAAAAGGGCUAAACAAACGUAUGGACUACAGACAUUUAAGACUAGGCCCAGGACCCCACAGACAAGUGGCAGGUAGAGUGCUUUACAAACCAAGGAAGAACAGAGAUUCAGGAAGAAAGGAGUGGUUCUCAGUAUCAAACACCACACAAAAUGCAGGCCACGUAGUAAGUAAAAACUGCUCCUUGGAUUUUGCUAUUAGGAGAUUGCUGUGGCCUUGGGAAGAAUCACUGUAGUUGGUAGGGACAAAAGAAGAGCUGGGAAGGAGUGCGUAGCAAAUGGGGCCUCCUCUUUUGAUAAGCUAUGCUGUGAAGUGAACUUGAAUGAUUGUGGUGAUACUGUGAUUUAUAAUGAGAAAUGUAUAUCUGGUCUUUGUUUCUGGCAUUGAGCUUCUAAAACCCUGGGAAUUUCCUAAAUGAUGAAAGCAAUAGAGAUGCCUUUUGUUAGUGAGUUGACUCUGGGACCACACCUAAGGAUGGGGACUAGUUGCGAGGAAAAAAGCAACCAUGUGCUUGGAGGGGUGGAACUUUCCCACCUCCCUGAGUUCUGGGGAGGGGCUGGAGGGGGGAGGGGAGAGGGGCUGGAGGGUGAAUCCAUCGCCAGUGGCCAGUGUUUUAAUCAAUCAUGCCUAUACAAUAAAGCUUCCGUAAAAACCCAAAAGGAUAGGGUUCAGAGUGCUUCCAGGUUGGUGACACAUGGACAUUUGGGGAGGCUGGUGUGUCUGAAGAGGGCACAGAAGCUCCUCACCCUUUCCUUAUACCUUCUCAUUGCAUCUUUUUCCAGCUGAUGUCCCUGAGUUAGAUCCUUGUACAAUAAGCCAGUGAUCUAGUAGGUAAACUGUGUCUCUGAGUUCUGUGAGCCGCUCUAGCAAAUUAAUCAAACUCAGGGGAGGAUGGGGUCAUGGGAAUCUCUGACUUAUAGCCAGUUGGUCAGCACAGGUAGUAAACUGGGCUUUUGAUUGGCAUCUGAAGGCAGGUGGGCAGUCUUGCGAGACUGAGCCCUGAACCUGUGGGAUCUGAUGCUAUCUCUGGGCAGACAGUGUCAGAAUUGAGCUGAAUUGUAAGACACCCAUCUGGUACCCAGGAACUGCCUAUUGGUGUGGGGGGCCCCUGCCCCACACUAGAACUGGCCCCAGACUUCGCUGGCUAAUAUCUAGAGGAAGGAAGGCACAAAGGUGAGAGAAGCUGCCUGUGUAGCUGUGUGGUAGGGAAGCAGCCGGAGGAGAGACUGAAGAUGGAGGAAAGGGAAGUGAGGAUGGUGCCAAGAGCCGAGGGACACGGAAGGGAUGGAGUCAGGCUGGGAGGUGAGGGGUUGCCUCAGACAGGAGGGAGGGAAGAAGGAAGGAGGCCACUCAUGGGCUGAGAAAGGAGAUGAGAGAAUCAUGAUGUCAGAGGACAGAUGAGCUGGGAGAGGGCGCCGUGAGUAAGCCAAAGGCAGGAGGUUCUGGCUGGAGACGGGCAUGUUGGUAUUGCUGAGCUAGAACAGUCAUGACAAGGUCCAGGGUGUGCCUGGCUGAGGUGGCAUUUGUGGCAUUCGAGUUAAAAGGUCAAGAAGUAUGAGACGGACGAUCCCGAGGAACAGACCUGAGGUGGAGAAGAAGUCUGGGGGGUUCUGUCCUCAAAGAGAGCAGGAGAAAGCAAUCCUUGCCUUAAGACAAAAGCACAUUUUAAGAUUCUAAAAAAUAUUCUAAGUCCUAACUCAUGGCUGCUAUAAAUGCCUCUUGCCAAAAUGUAAAUCCAUAGCUUCUUCAGGAGUAUACCAAAUACUUAGGGAGUUCCCAUUGUGGCUCAGUGGGUUAAGAACCCAACAGAGUGUCCAUGAAGAUACACGUUUGAUCCCUGGCCUCACUCAGUGGGUGAAAGAUCCAGCGUCGCCGUGAGCUGUGGUGUAGAUCGCAGAUGCGGCUUAGAUCCCAGGUUGCUGUGGCUGUGGCUGUGGUGUAGGCUGGUAGCUGCAGCUUUGAGUCGACCUCUAACCCAGGAAUUUUUAUAUACCACAGGUGUGGCCGUAAAAAGAAAAAUAAUUUUUUUAAAAGAGUAUACCAAAUAUUUAGACCAAGUGACACACUGAAACCAUGAAGCAGGAAAACCUACAUGAUAAAUCCUUGUUCUUUCCAUUAGCAAAUGGGUUAAACCUACCUUCCUUUUUUUUGUCUUUUUAGGAUCGCACCCAAGGCACAUGAAGUUCCCAGGCUAGGGGUCCAAUCUGAGCUGCAGCUGCUGGCCUAUACCACAGCCACAGCAAUGCCUGAUUUGUGCUGCAUCUGCGACCUACACCACAGCUCACGGCAAUGCCAGAUCCUCAACCAGAGUCCUCACAGAUACUAGUUGGGUUUGUUACUUCUGAGCCACAGGAACUCCAAACCUACCUUUCUGAGUUAGACUGAGGUCUGGCCUCCUUCAUUCACUCAGCAAACAUGCCUUCUAUCUGCCAGGUACUCUGCUGGGCCCUGGGGAUUCAAAAUGAAUUACCUAUGGUCUUUAUGGAGUUCACAAACAAGCGCAGGAGCCAGUCCUGAUGACAUGAAAAUUCUAGAGAAGUGGAAGGUAGAAAGUACAGUGGGGUUGUGUGAACACCAAGAAGGGAACCUAGGUUUGGGGAGAAGCAGCACAGAAAAGCUAACAAGAGAUGAACCUUAAAGAAGGAGCAGGGCGCACCAGCCUGGGAGGUGUGGGAAGGGCAUUCUAGGAAGAGGAACAGCAUGAGAAAGGGCACUGAGGGCCUGGAUGAUCAUGAAACUUAACAAUCUGGUUUGGCAGAAGAGUAGCCCUUAAACAGCAGUCUGCACAAGAACUGGCCUCAAUAUCAUUAAAAAAGCAGAGUAUCAGGCCCUGGAACAAUGGAUUUCAUAGGCCUAGAAUCUGCAUUUUCAAACGUGUCCUCAAUGCUUCUGAAGAAGGUGGUCCAUAGUUCGCACUGCAAAACCCCUGGCUCCUGGUGGGGGGAAGGAGUAGGGGUUGGGAUGAGGCAGAAAUUUUGUUCAGGAGCGUGUCGUGUUAAGGAGUUUGGAGCUCAAUUUUUCUAAGCAGUGAGGUACCUUUAGGGAGUGCCCUGAUGACAUCUGUUCCAGAAAUCCCUGUCUGGCAGUGGGACUGACAAAAGCCUGAAGAGAAGGAAGGUCGCUGCACCCAGGAAAGACAUUAGCGGGGAACAUUCAGCACAUCCUCAGGCUCCUGGGAGACAAAAAUCUCUCCUGAAGAGACAAACAGAAACAGCCAGGGUGGCCCACUGAGCACACACAAACCUAUGCAGAAUCCAGGCUGGGGGACACUCCCUGUGGUUCUGAGGCUUGUGCUGAGUCAUCCUUCA
rnacentral:lncRNA from 1 species